AAGGUGGGGAUGACGUCAAGUCCUCAUGGCCUUUAUGACCAGGGCUACACACGUACUACAAUGGCCGAUACAAAGGGCAGCGACACUGCGAGGUGAAGCCAAUCCCGUAAAAUCGGUCUCAGUCCGGAUUGGAGUCUGCAACUCGACUCCAUGAAGUUGGAAUCGCUAGUAAUCGUGGAUCAGCAUGCCACGGUGAAUACGUUCCCGGGCCUU
rnacentral:rRNA from 1 species